GUCUGCAUGAGACUUUUGAAGUUGGAAUUUCCAAAAUGGCUACCGUUGCCAUGGAAACUGCAAAAAUGUCAAAUAUUUUCAAAAUGCUCCAAACUUAAUGAAACUUAAUAUUAUUGUAAACUGGCAUGUAUAGAUGAGACUUUUGACUUUGAAAUUUUCAAAAUGGCUGCCGUUGCCAUGGAAACAGCAAAAAUGUCAUGUUUUUAAAAAUGCUCUAAAUGUACUGAAAAUUUACAGAAAAUGUAUAGCCAUGCAAAUAUGUGCAUUCACUGUUAAAAGUUUUUGAAAUGGCUGCCGCUUAGUGGCAAUGGGGGGAAGGGUGACAUCCGCUAUUGCUUGCAAUGGCAAUUCUAGUUAUUAUUAUUUUUCUUCCACCUAAUUUUGUCCGCCCGCUUUCUCAGAGCCAAAGGAACCAAUCUGAAUGAUGGUGCACUAUAACAAGGAACCCUGACUUUCCUGUUGCUUUUCAAUAUUGGAACUAAAAAAAAUGGCUGCCAUCACCAUGGAAACGGAAAAAUGGUGAAAAAAUAUAAUUUUGGAGUUAGGUGAAUUGUUUGAGAAUGCUUAACCUUAAAAUCUUUAGAUUUUAAUACAAUGUAGGUGCCCACUAUAUACUGCUUUGGGAUGAUUUUGGCAAUCAUUGGAACUGCUAUGUUGCCAUGGAUACUACACCAAAAAUUUCAAAAAUAUGAAAAUGCUCCAAAUUUUUUGAAAUUCUAGCAUAACGAUGAGCAACUUUGGUAGAUGUGGAAUUUGGCGUUGGAAUUUCCAAAAUGUCUGCCGU
rnacentral:lncRNA from 1 species